GAGGACAGUAGAUUGAGAGGAGGCUGGUGGGAGGUGUUAUAGGAGGACAGUAGAUUGAGAGGAGGCUGGUGGGAUGUGUUAUAGGAGCACAGUAGAUGAAGAGGAGGCUGGUGGGAGGUGUUAUAGGAGGACAGUAGAUAUAUAUAUAUAUAUGCCAUUUAGCAGACGCUUUUAUCCAAAGCGACUUACAGUCAUGUGUGCAUACAUUCUACGUAUGGGUGGUCCCGGGGAUCGAACCCACUACCCUGGCGUUACAAGCGCCAUGCUCUACCAACUGAGCUACAGAUGAAGAGGAGGCUGGUGGGAGGUGUUAUAGGAGGACAGUAGAUGAAGAGGAGGCUGGUGGGAGGUGUUAUAGGAGGACAGUAGAUGAAGAGGAGGCUGGUGGGAUGUGUUAUAGGAGGACAGUAGAUGGAGAGGAGGCUGGUGGGAGGUGUUAUAGGAGGACAGUAGAUGGAGAGGAGGCUGGUGGGAGGUGUUAUAGGAGGACAGUAGAUGGAGAGGAGGCUGGUGGGAGGUGUUAUAGGAGGACAGUAGAUGAAGAGGAGGCUGGUGGGAGGUGUUAUAGGAGGACAGUAGAUGAAGAGGAGGCUGGUGGGAGGUGUUAUAGGAGGACAGUAGAUGGA